GAUCUUGGCUCAGGAUGAACGCUAGCUACAGGCUUAACACAUGCAAGUCGAGGGGCAGCAUGGUCUUAGCUUGCUAAGGCUGAUGGCGACCGGCGCACGGGUGAGUAACACGUAUCCAACCUGCCGUCUACUCUUGGCCAGCCUUCUGAAAGGAAGAUUAAUCCAGGAUGGGAUCAUGAGUUCACAUGUCCGCAUAACUAAAGGUAUUUUCCGGUAGACGAUGGGG
rnacentral:rRNA from 1 species